rnacentral:rRNA from 1 species
AACGCUAGCUACAGGCUUAACACAUGCAAGUCGAGGGGCAGCAUAAACCUAGCAAUAGGUUCGAUGGCGACCGGCGCACGGGUGAGUAACGAGUAUCCAACCUUCCCAUUACUCAGGUAUAGCCUUUCGAAAGAAAGAUUAACACCUGAUGGUAUAAUAAAGUUGCAUAAUUUUAUUAUUAAAGUAUAUCGGUAAUGGAUGGGGAUGCUUUCCAUUAGAUAGUAGGCGGGGUAACGGCCCACCUAGUCUUCGAUGGAUAGGGGUUCUGAGAGGAAGGUCCCCCACAUUGGAACUGAGACACGGUCCAAACUCCUACGGGAGGCAGCAGUGAGGAAUAUUGGUCAAUGGACGAGAGUCUGAACCAGCCAAGUAGCGUGAAGGAUGAAGGUCCUAUGGGUUGUAAACUGCUUUUAUACAGGGAUAAAGUUAGCCACGUGUGGUUAUUUGCAGGUACUGUAUGAAUAAGGACCGGCUAAUUCCGUGCCAGCAGCCGCGGUAAUACGGAAGGUCCAGGCGUUAUCCGGAUUUAUUGGGUUUAAAGGGAGCGUAGGCCGUCUGUUAAGCGUGCUGUGAAAUGUAGAUGCUCAACAUCUGAAUUGCAGCGCGAACUGGCAGACUUGAGUGUGCGCAACGUAGGCGGAAUUCGUGGUGUAGCGGUGAAAUGCUUAGAUAUCACGAAGAACUCCGAUUG